AGUGAACGCUGGCGGCAGGCCUAACACAUGCAAGUCGAACGGCAGCACAGCAUUAGCAAUACUGUGGGUGGCGAGUGGCGGACGGGUGAGGAAUACAUCGGAAUCUGCCUAGUCGUGGGGGAUAACGUAGGGAAACUUACGCUAAUACCGCAUACGACCUACGGGUGAAAGCGGGGGAUCGCAAGACCUCGCGCGAUUAGAUGAGCCGAUGUCCGAUUAGCUAGUUGGCGGGGUAAUGGCCCACCAAGGCGACGAUCGGUAGCUGGUCUGAGAGGAUGAUCAGCCACACUGGAACUGAGACACGGUCCAGACUCCUACGGGAGGCAGCAGUGGGGAAUAUUGGACAAUGGGCGCAAGCCUGAUCCAGCCAUGCCGCGUGGGUGAAGAAGGCCUCGGG
rnacentral:rRNA from 1 species